AUCUUCUCUGAAAGAUUAGAAUCGUGCAUCUGCCGUGCCUUUCAAUUUUGUAUUUCGGAUUAACUGCUCCUUUUCCUCCACGUUCUGAAGGCCUUCUAAGACAUUUCCUUCCCGGUUCAUCUGAUCUGGUGGAUGUGCCUGGACAGAGAGGUGAGGAAUCUGAGAGGAAAUGAACAGAGCUGGAGGCUGCCCUUCAAUGAAAAGUAACUGUGGUGGCAACAGCCACAUUGGAGUCUAUGAGGUGAAGUCUAAGGCUCUACUGAUAUGGCUAAGCCUAUGAUCGGGGAAUAAAGCUUAUUUUCCUUAA